UACGUAGGGGGCAAGCGUUGUCCGGAAUCAUUGGGCGUAAAGAGCGUGUAGGCGGUCCGGUAAGUCAGCUGUGAAAGUCCAGGGCUCAACCCUGGGAUGCCGGUCGAUACUGCCGGACUAGAGUUCGGAAGAGGCGAGUGGAAUUCCCGGUGUAGCGGUGAAAUGCGCAGAUAUCGGGAGGAACACCUAUGGCGAAGGCAGCUCGCUGGGACGUUACUGACGCUGAGACGCGAAAGCGUGGGG
rnacentral:rRNA from 1 species